rnacentral:rRNA from 1 species
GACGAACGCUGGCGGCGUGCUUAACACAUGCAAGUCGAACGGAAAGGCCCUGCUUUUGUGGGGUGCUCGAGUGGCGAACGGGUGAGUAACACGUGAGUCACCUGCCCUUGACUUUGGGAUAACUUCAGGAAACUGGGGCUAAUGCCGGAUAGGAGCUCCUGCUGCAUGGUGGGGGUUGGAAAGUUUCGGCGGUUGGGGAUGGACUCGCGGCUUAUCAGCUUGUUGGUGGGGUAGUGGCUUACCAAGGCUUUGACGGGUAGCCGGCCUGAGAGGGUGACCGGCCACAUUGGGACUGAGAUACGGCCCAGACUCCUACGGGAGGCAGCAGUGGGGAAUAUUGCACAAUGGGCGGAAGCCUGAUGCAGCAACGCCGCGUGCGGGAUGACGGCCUUCGGGUUGUAAACCGCUUUCGCCUGUGACGAAGCGUGAGUGACGGUAAUGGGUAAAGAAGCACCGGCUAACUACGUG